GGCGAGAUCGCCAAGCGGUCCAAGGCGCUGGUUUUAGGAACCAUUCCCCUCGGGGGCGUGGGUUCGAAUCCCACUCUCGUCA
rnacentral:tRNA from 1 species